rnacentral:rRNA from 1 species
AGUGAGCGCUGGCGGUAGGCCUAGCACAUGCAAGUCGAACGGCAGCUCAGUAAGAGCUUGCUCUUACGGGUGGCGAGUGGCGGACGGGUGAGGAAUACAUCGGAAUCUACUUUUUCGUGGGGGAUAACGUAGGGAAACUUACGCUAAUACCGCAUACGACCUACGGGUGAAAGCAGGGGAUCUUCGGACCUUGCGCGAUUGAAUGAGCCGAUGUCGGAUUAGCUAGUUGGCGGGGUAAAGGCCCACCAAGGCGACGAUCCGUAGCUGGUCUGAGAGGAUGAUCAGCCACACUGGAACUGAGACACGGUCCAGACUCCUACGGGAGGCAGCAGUGGGGAAUAUUGGACAAUGGGCGCAAGCCUGAUCCAGCCAUACCGCGUGGGUGAAGAAGGCCUUCGGGUUGUAAAGCCCUUUUGUUGGGAAAGAAAAGCAGCAGGUUAAUACCCCGCUGUUCUGACGGUACCCAAAGAAUAAGCACCGGCUAACUUCGUG